rnacentral:rRNA from 1 species
UGUGUGUUAGUGGAAGCGUCUGGAAAGGCGCGCGAUACAGGGUGACAGCCCCGUACACAAAAAUGCACAUACUGUGAGCUCGAUGAGUAGGGCGGGACACGUGGUAUCCUGUCUGAAUAUGGGGGGACCAUCCUCCAAGGCUAAAUACUCCUGACUGACCGAUAGUGAACCAGUACCGUGAGGGAAAGGCGAAAAGAACCCCGGCGAGGGGAGUGAAAAAGAACCUGAAACCGUGUACGUACAAGCAGUGGGAGCCUCUUUUAUGGGGUGACUGCGUACCUUUUGUAUAAUGGGUCAGCGACUUAUAUUCUGUAGCAAGGUUAACCGAAUAGGGGAGCCGAAGGGAAACCGAGUCUUAACUGGGCGUUAAGUUGCAGGGUAUAGACCCGAAACCCGGUGAUCUAGCCAUGGGCAGGUUGAAGGUUGGGUAACACUAACUGGAGGACCGAACCGACUAAUGUUGAAAAAUUAGCGGAUGACUUGUGGCUGGGGGUGAAAGGCCAAUCAAACCGGGAGAUAGCUGGUUCUCCCCGAAAGCUAUUUAGGUAGCGCCUCGUGAAUUCAUCUCCGGGGGUAGAGCACUGUUUCGGCAAGGGGGUCAUCCCGACUUACCAACCCGAUGCAAACUGCGAAUACCGGAGAAUGUUAUCACGGGAGACACACGGCGGGUGCUAACGUCCGUCGUGAAGAGGGAAACAACCCAGACCGCCAGCUAAGGUCCCAAAGUCAUGGUUAAGUGGGAAACGAUGUGGGAAGGCCCAGACAGCCAGGAUGUUGGCUUAGAAGCAGCCAUCAUUUAAAGAAAGCGUAAUAGCUCACUGGUCGAGUCGGCCUGCGCGGAAGAUGUAACGGGGCUAAACCAUGCAC